UCCUCCUCUGUGCGCGUGCGCGUCUCUAGGGGCGUGCGUGGGCGGGCAGAGCUGAGGGAGAGGCUGCGGUCUUGGAGGUUUUGAGUUCGAGUCCCACCUCUUCUGGAGUGUAGGCGGCAUGCGGUGGGGUGGGGCAGCAAGUGAGGAAUUUCGAUGCAGAAAAUGAGUCUGCAGGAGAAGGGCCUUACUGAAGUCCCCAAAGCCAGGAAGCAUCAGGGCCUGGAUUCAAACCCAAGCUCGUUUCACUCUAGGGUGAGCCCACAUUUUUUCCCUGGCAACAGGCAACCUGCCUAGCGACCAUCGUAAUGAACUGGACCAGUGCCGGCGAUGUUUGUUCUCCAUGGAGACGGCAAUACUGGCGAUGUUGGUUCUACAGGAGAGGCGUGGGCAGUUAAAACAGAAUCCUUGGGGAGGAAGAGGAGCCCCCUGACACUAUGAUUUAUAAUAAAUAUGUAUGUGGUCUUUGUCCCCAGUCUGGCAGAGCGCUCCUUAAAACCCCUGGAGAACUUCCUCUGAUGAGACCAAUAACGGUAUCUUUUGUUAUGUUAAUGAGGUGGCUUUGGAAAGCACCUAGGCAACCUAAGGAUAGGGGCUGGGUGCCAGGGACCCAACCCUGCGAUUAGAGGGUUGGAACUUCCAGUCCCAUCCCUCAGACUCCUGGGAGGGGAAGGGGGUUGGAGGUUGAAUCAAUCACCAGUAGUCAAUGAUUUACUUAAACAUAAUCAUGUAACGAAGCCUCCAUAAAAAAACCCAAAAGGACAGGGCUUGGUGAGCUUCCAGAUGGGUGGAAGAUUUGGGGGGUGCCCAAGGGGGGUGUGGAAGCUCCCUGCCCCUUCCCCAUAUCUUGCCCUCUGCAUCUCUUGCAUCCAGCUGUCCCUGAGUUACAUCCUUUUAUAAUAAACCAGAGAUCUAGUCAGUAAAACGCAUCUCUGAAUUUUGUGAGCCACUCAUCAAACCCAAGGAAGGGGCCGUUGGAUCUGUAGCCAGUUGGUCAGAAGCACAGGUAACAGCCUGGACUUGAAAUCGGC